rnacentral:rRNA from 1 species
UACGUAGGGGGCAAGCGUUGUCCGGAUUUAUUGGGCGUAAAGAGCGUGUAGGCGGCUAGAUAGGUCCGUUGUGAAAACUCGAGGCUCAACCUCGAGACGUCGAUGGAAACCAUCUGGCUAGAGUCCGGAAGAGGAGAGUGGAAUUCCCGGUGUAGCGGUGAAAUGCGCAGAUAUCGGGAAGAACACCCGUGGCUAAGGCGGCUCUCUAGUACGGUACUGACGCUGAGACGCGAAAGCGUGGGGAGCGAACAGG